GACGAACCGUGCGAACGUUGUUCGGAAUCACUGGGCUUAAAAGGGCGCGUAGGCGGGCAUUCAAGUCGGUGGUGAAAUCCUCCAGCUUAACUGGAGAAGAGCUGUCGAUACUGGAUGUCUCGAGGGGUGCAGGGGUCUGCGGAACUUCGGGUGGAGCGGUGAAAUGCGUAGAGAUCCGAAGGAACGCCGGUGGCGAAAGCGGCGGACUGGGCACCUUCUGACGCUGGAGGC
rnacentral:rRNA from 1 species